UCACUGAUUUCUAGGACUACCCUGGG
rnacentral:piRNA from 1 species